ACCUAGACCUGAUUGGAGUGAACAUCCCGAUUUAAGCACUUUUUUUUGCUUUUAUGGUGUGCUUGCUUGUUUCACAGGUUUCAUCGGGAUAAAACGGAAAGCAGGAGAAAAC
rnacentral:sRNA from 1 species